rnacentral:rRNA from 1 species
UACGUAGGGGGCGAGCGUUGUCCGGAGUUACUGGGCGUAAAGCGCUUGUAGGCGGUCCAUCAAGUUUGGGGUGACAGUUGCCGACUUAAUCGGCAAAGUGCCUCAAAGACUGGCGGACUUGAGGGCCACAGAGGGACAUGGAACUCCAGGUGUAGUGGUGAAAUGCGUAGAUAUCUGGAAGAACACCAAAGGCGAAGGCAGUGUCCUGGGUGGUCGCUGACGCUGAAAGGCGAAAGCCAGGGGAGCGAACGGG